rnacentral:rRNA from 1 species
UGUCGUCAGCCGUGUCGUGAGAUGUUGGGUUAAGUCCCGCAACGAGCGCAACCCCUGUCCUAUGUUGCCAGCAUUAAGUUGGGGACUCAUAGGAGACUGCCGGCGUCAAGCCGGAGAAGGUGGGAUGACGUCAAGUCAUCAUGCCCCUUAUGUCCUGGGCUGCACACGUGCUACAAUGGCCGGUACAAUGGGCUGCGAUACCGCGAGGUGGAGCGAAUCCCAUAAAACCGGCCCCAGUUCGGAUCGAAGGCUGCAACCCGCCUGCAUGAAGAUGGAGUUGCUAGUAACCGCAGGUCAGCUAUACUGCGGUGAAUACGUUCCCGGGGCUU